rfam:Haemonchus contortus, ISE/inbred ISE, WGS project CAVP01000000 data, contig: Hcontortus_48027
GGUUUUAACCCAGUAUCUCAAGGUACUACGGGAUUCUGACCUUCCACUUGUGGUUGCGUCAAAAAACCUUAAUUUUUGGAUCGCUUUCCCGGGGAUAUCCGGGAAGGCAAC